GAUGAACGCUGGCGGCGUGCUUAACACAUGCAAGUCGAACGAGAAGUGAAGACGGAAACCUUCGGGCGGAAGGCUUUAUUUCGAGUGGCGGACGGGUGAGUAACGCGUGGGUAACCUGCCUCAUACAGGGGGAUAACAGAUGGAAACGACUGUUAAUACCGCAUAAGACCACAGCAACGCAUGGUGCGGGGGUAAAAACUCCGGUGGUAUGAGAUGGACCCGCGUUGGAUUAGCCAGUUGGCGGGGUAACGGCCCGCCAAAGCGACGAUCGGUAGCCGAUCUGAGAGGAGGACCGGCCACAUUGGGACUGGGACACGACCCAUACUCCUACGGGAGGCAGCAAUGGGGGAUAUUGCACAGUGGGGGAGACCCUGAUGCAGCGACGCCGCGUGAGUGAAGAAGUAUUUCGGUAUGUAAAGCUCUAUCAGCAGGGAAUAAAAUGACGGUACCUGAGUAAGAAGCCCCGGCUAACUACGUG
rnacentral:rRNA from 1 species